AUCUCUGUAGCCAUCACUGAGAAAUCUGGAUUUUCAAGGGCCUUUCUCUCUGUUGCCCAGGCUGGAGUUUAGCGACUCAAUCAUGGCUCACUGACUGCAGCCUUGACCUCCGGGGCUCAAGUGAUCCUUUCAUCUCAACCUCCUCAGUAGCUGAGACUACAGACAUGGAUAAAAGAAAUCCCUGUAAAAGGCAGCUUAACUGGAUGUUUCCCUCCAAUGGCAAAGUAACUCUCAAUGGGCCAAGAGAUCUCAUUAUGUUACCCAGGCUGGUCUCAAACUCCUGGGCUCAAGCAAUCCUUCUACCUUGGCCUCUCAAAGUGCUGCAAUUACAGAUGUGAGCCACUGUGCCUGGCCUGAUGUUAAUUUAUAAUGCUUUCCUAUGAAUAAACUGUUAAAACACUUUAGUCAAUGUA
rnacentral:sRNA from 1 species